UCCGAAUUGGUGUAGUGGCUAACAUAUGUCGCUCUCAUCCCAUCCUCUGGUUGCAGUUGAUGUUAGACGUGCCGACAUGCCCGGGGUUCGAUUCCCCGAUUCGGAG